AGAGUUUGAUCCUGGCUCAGGACGAACGCUGGCGGCGUGCUUAACACAUGCAAGUCGAGCGAUGAAGCCCCUUCGGGAGUGGAUUAGCGGCGGACGGGUGAGUAACACGUGGGUAACCUACCUCAAAGAGGGGGAUAGCCUCCCGAAAGGGAGAUUAAUACCGCAUAAUAAUCAGUUUUCACAUGGGAAUUGAUUUAAAGGAGUAAUCCGCUUUGAGAUGGACCCGCGGCGCAUUAGCUAGUUGGUAGGGUAACGGCCUACCAAGGCGACGAUGCGUAGCCGACCUGAGAGGGUGAUCGGCCACAUUGGAACUGAGAGACGGUCCAGACUCCUACGGGAGGCAGCAGUGGGGAAUAUUGCACAAUGGGCGAAAGCCUGAUGCAGCAACGCCGCGUGAGUGAAGAAGGUUUUCGGAUUGUAAAGCUCUGUCUUUGGGGACGAUAAUGACGGUACCCAAGGAGGAAGCCACGGCUAACUACGUGCCAGCAGCCGCGGUAAUACGUAGGUGGCAAGCGUUGUCCGGAAUUACUGGGCGUAAAGAGUGCGUAGGCGGAUAUUUAAGUGAGAUGUGAAAUACCCGGGCUUAACCCGGGCACUGCAUUUCAAACUGGAUAUCUAGAGUGCGGGAGAGGAGAAUGGAAUUCCUAGUGUAGCGGUGAAAUGCGUAGAGAUUAGGAAGAACACCAGUGGCGAAGGCGAUUCUCUGGACCGUAACUGACGCUGAGGCACGAAAGCGUGGGUAGCAAACAGGAUUAGAUACCCUGGUAGUCCACGCCGUAAACGAUGGAUACUAGGUGUAGGAGGUAUCGACCCCUUCUGUGCCGGAGUUAACACAAUAAGUAUCCCACCUGGGGAGUACGGCCGCAAGGUUGAAACUCAAAGGAAUUGACGGGGGCCCGCACAAGCAGCGGAGCAUGUGGUUUAAUUCGAAGCAACGCGAAGAACCUUACCUGGACUUGACAUACCCUGCAUAUCUUAGAGAUAAGAGAAGCCCUCCGGGGCAGGGAUACAGGUGGUGCAUGGUUGUCGUCAGCUCGUGUCGUGAGAUGUUAGGUUAA
rnacentral:rRNA from 1 species